rnacentral:rRNA from 1 species
GGACGAACGCUGGCGGCGUGCCUAACACAUGCAAGUCGAACGGAACUAUUUGACUGAUUCCUUCGGGAUGAAGAAUUUUAGUUAGUGGCGGACGGGUGAGUAACGCGUGAGUAACCUGCCUCUGAGAGGGGAAUAACGUUCUGAAAAGAACGCUAAUACCGCAUAACACAUAUUUGCCGCAUGACAGAUAUGUCAAAGAUUUUUAUCGCUCGGAGAUGGACUCGCGUCCGAUUAGUUAGUUGGUGAGGUAACGGCUCACCAAGGCCGCGAUCGGUAGCCGGACUGAGAGGUUGAACGGCCACAUUGGGACUGAGACACGGCCCAGACUCCUACGGGAGGCAGCAGUGGGGGAUAUUGCGCAAUGGGGGCAACCCUGACGCCAGCAACGCCGCGUGAAGGAUGAAGGUUUUCGGAUUGUAAACUUCUUUUAUCAGGGACGAACUCUGACGGUACCUGAUGAAUAAGCUCCGGCUAACUACGUGCCAGCCGCAGC